GGUUAAGCGACUAAGCGUACACGGUGGAUGCCCUGGCAGUCAGAGGCGAUGAAGGACGUGCUAAUCUGCGAUAAGCGUCGGUAAGGUGAUAUGAACCGUUAUAACCGGCGAUUUCCGAAUGGGGAAACCCAGUGUGAUUCGUCACACUAUCAUUAACUGAAUCCAUAGGUUAAUGAGGCGAACCGGGGGAACUGAAACAUCUAAGUACCCCGAGGAAAAGAAAUCAACCGAGAUUCCCCCAGUAGCGGCGAGCGAACGGGGAGCAGCCCAGAGCCUGAAUCAGUGUGUGUGUUAGUGGAAGCGUCUGGAAAGGCGCGCGAUACAGGGUGACAGCCCCGUACACAAAAAUGCACAUGCUGUGAGCUCGAUGAGUAGGGCGGGACACGUGGUAUCCUGUCUGAAUAUGGGGGGACCAUCCUCCAAGGCUAAAUACUCCUGACUGACCGAUAGUGAACCAGUACCGUGAGGGAAAGGCGAAAAGAACCCCGGCGAGGGGAGUGAAAAAGAACCUGAAACCGUGUACGUACAAGCAGUGGGAGCACGCUUAGGCGUGUGACUGCGUACCUUUUGUAUAAUGGGUCAGCGACUUAUAUUCUGUAGCAAGGUUAACCGAAUAGGGGAGCCGAAGGGAAACCGAGUCUUAACUGGGCGUUAAGUUGCAGGGUAUAGACCCGAAACCCGGUGAUCUAGCCAUGGGCAGGUUGAAGGUUGGGUAACACUAACUGGAGGACCGAACCGACUAAUGUUGAAAAAUUAGCGGAUGACUUGUGGCUGGGGGUGAAAGGCCAAUCAAACCGGGAGAUAGCUGGUUCUCCCCGAAAGCUAUUUAGGUAGCGCCUCGUGAAUUCAUCUCCGGGGGUAGAGCACUGUUUCGGCAAGGGGGUCAUCCCGACUUACCAACCCGAUGCAAACUGCGAAUACCGGAGAAUGUUAUCACGGGAGACACACGGCGGGUGCUAACGUCCGUCGUGAAGAGGGAAACAACCCAGACCGCCAGCUAAGGUCCCAAAGUCAUGGUUAAGUGGGAAACGAUGUGGGAAGGCCCAGACAGCCAGGAUGUUGGCUUAGAAGCAGCCAUCAUUUAAAGAAAGCGUAAUAGCUCACUGGUCGAGUCGGCCUGCGCGGAAGAUGUAACGGGGCUAAACCAUGCACCGAAGCUGCGGCAGCGACGCUGAUGCGUUGUUGGGUAGGGGAGCGUUCUGUAAGCCUGUGAAGGUGUGCUGUGAGGCAUGCUGGAGGUAUCAGAAGUGCGAAUGCUGACAUAAGUAACGAUAAAGCGGGUGAAAAGCCCGCUCGCCGGAAGACCAAGGGUUCCUGUCCAACGUUAAUCGGGGCAGGGUGAGUCGACCCCUAAGGCGAGGCCGAAAGGCGUAGUCGAUGGGAAACAGGUUAAUAUUCCUGUACUUGGUGUUACUGCGAAGGGGGGACGGAGAAGGCUAUGUUGGCCGGGCGACGGUUGUCCCGGUUUAAGCGUGUAGGCUGGUUUUCCAGGCAAAUCCGGAAAAUCAAGGCUGAGGCGUGAUGACGAGGCACUACGGUGCUGAAGCAACAAAUGCCCUGCUUCCAGGAAAAGCCUCUAAGCAUCAGGUAACAUCAAAUCGUACCCCAAACCGACACAGGUGGUCAGGUAGAGAAUACCAAGGCGCUUGAGAGAACUCGGGUGAAGGAACUAGGCAAAAUGGUGCCGUAACUUCGGGAGAAGGCACGCUGAUAUGUAGGUGAAGUCCCUUGCGGAUGGAGCUGAAAUCAGUCGAAGAUACCAGCUGGCUGCAACUGUUUAUUAAAAACACAGCACUGUGCAAACACGAAAGUGGACGUAUACGGUGUGACGCCUGCCCGGUGCCGGAAGGUUAAUUGAUGGGGUCAGCGCAAGCGAAGCUCUUGAUCGAAGCCCCGGUAAACGGCGGCCGUAACUAUAACGGUCCUAAGGUAGCGAAAUUCCUUGUCGGGUAAGUUCCGACCUGCACGAAUGGCGUAAUGAUGGCCAGGCUGUCUCCACCCGAGACUCAGUGAAAUUGAACUCGCUGUGAAGAUGCAGUGUACCCGCGGCAAGACGGAAAGACCCCGUGAACCUUUACUAUAGCUUGACACUGAACAUUGAGCCUUGAUGUGUAGGAUAGGUGGGAGGCUUAGAAGUGUGGACGCCAGUCUGCAUGGAGCCGACCUUGAAAUACCACCCUUUAAUGUUUGAUGUUCUAACGUUGACCCGUAAUCCGGGUUGCGGACAGUGUCUGGUGGGUAGUUUGACUGGGGCGGUCUCCUCCUAAAGAGUAACGGAGGAGCACGAAGGUUGGCUAAUCCUGGUCGGACAUCAGGAGGUUAGUGCAAUGGCAUAAGCCAGCUUGACUGCGAGCGUGACGGCGCGAGCAGGUGCGAAAGCAGGUCAUAGUGAUCCGGUGGUUCUGAAUGGAAGGGCCAUCGCUCAACGGAUAAAAGGUACUCCGGGGAUAACAGGCUGAUACCGCCCAAGAGUUCAUAUCGACGGCGGUGUUUGGCACCUCGAUGUCGGCUCAUCACAUCCUGGGGCUGAAGUAGGUCCCAAGGGUAUGGCUGUUCGCCAUUUAAAGUGGUACGCGAGCUGGGUUUAGAACGUCGUGAGACAGUUCGGUCCCUAUCUGCCGUGGGCGCUGGAGAACUGAGGGGGGCUGCUCCUAGUACGAGAGGACCGGAGUGGACGCAUCACUGGUGUUCGGGUUGUCAUGCCAAUGGCACUGCCCGGUAGCUAAAUGCGGAAGAGAUAAGUGCUGAAAGCAUCUAAGCACGAAACUUGCCCCGAGAUGAGUUCUCCCUGACCCUUUAAGGGUCCUGAAGGAACGUUGAAGACGACGACGUUGAUAGGCCGGGUGUGUAAGCGCAGCGAUGCGUUGAGCUAACCGGUACUAAUGAACCGUGAGGCUUAACCUU
rnacentral:rRNA from 1 species